UCCGGUGGCCUUGUUGUUAGAGAGUCCGCCUUGGAUGCGGGAGGUCGCUGGUUCGAACCCGGUUGAGUCAUAAAAA